UUGGUACCAUUGGAAAGAAAACACUUUAACGUUUGUAGAGCUGUUAAAAUAAUGUAGGAGAAUAUAACACAAUAGAUAUGGUAGGAGAAAAUCCAUUCACACACUUGUGACGACUUCACCAACGUGACCAGCAAGAUCCUGGCCAAGGUGGGCCGCAACCUGCACAACCAAGCCCACCAUCCUCUCUGUCUCAUCAUACAGCAAAUCAAAGCCCACUUCUACCGUGCCUACAUCAUGCGCUAGGGCAACCCGCUGUACUCGGUCCACAACAACCUCAGUCCGGUGGUGAUGACGGAGCAGAAUUUCGACAGCCUGCUCAUCCGGCCGACCACUCCUGCCGGAAGUGAGGCGUCAGCUACUACCUCAACCGGGGCACCAUGCUGCACGCUCACAUCUCGGCCCACCAGAGGGAGCUGGGUGUGCCCGGGACUGGACCGCUUCCUGCUGGCGGGCGAAGUGUAACCGAGGGACAAGAUUGAAGCUUUUGAAAUCAAAACAAAUGCUGGUGGAGUUAAGGUACGGGAACAUUUAAACUAAACAUAACACUGCCUUGAGUAGCUACAGUUUUAUUGAUUAGCUUCUCCUCCAGACCACAAAGUCAAGGCCUUCUAUGUAGGGUCACAACAAGGCCAAAGAGUUGGACUCACAAUGUAGGAUGAAUACAGUAUCCCAUUGUUACACAACAUUGAGCGCUACAGUUUUAUCGAUUGCAUAUGCUUUGCUGAGUACUGCAAAGACAUUGAGAAGUAAACUUAGAUACACAUACAAUAAUUCAUUCUACAUGAAGUCUAAUCAUCAGCCAUAUUAACAGCAUUAGCAGCAGUGUUGUUUUGAAGAGUUGUCUCUGAAAUAUGUGUGUGUGUGCUUUUCAGCUGCUUGCCAAGGUUUUGAGCGGAGAGGACCAGUCUCUCUUCGAGAGCGGGGUGAGCCAGACCCCACAGAAGCAGGAGACCUGAAACAGACAAUGGACCGUAUGGUCAGACACCUGUUUGGAGAAGAGCUGGAGAUCCGCUGGGUGGAGUGUUAGUUCCCAUUCACACAUCCCUCCUUUGAGAUAGAGGUGCAUUUCCAGGAUGACUGGCUGGAGGUGUUGGACUGUGGGGUGAUGGAGCUGCUGAAGUAACUAAGAAGAUGGGCUGUGCAUUUGGACUGGGCCUGGAGCGCCUGGCCAUGGUGCUGUACGGGAUCCCCAACAUCCGCUUCUUCUGGAGCCAGGAUAAUCGCUUCAUCAAGCAGUUCUGCCUGCCCAACAUCAACAACCCAGUCACCUUCCAGUAAGGAACCCACCUCUGACCAACGACAUCUACUUCUGGCCGAGGGCUACACGGAGAAUGACUUCUAUGACCUGGUGAGGAGCAUCGGAAGAGAUCUAGUGGAGAAGAUCGACCAGUUCACACAUCCAAACAGAAACGCUGACUCAUGGAGUUGGGCAAGCUGCUCCUGAUGAGAGAGGACGGGCGACGGUACCCUUGUGUCUCUGUCUGUACGUCAUUUAUAUUUAACCUGCACAAGGAGAGAGGAGUCUUCCGAGCCUUGUUUCCCCCAUCUCCUUGGUGUACACCGUGUCCUGUGAAAAGAGGACACUGCGCCACAAAUCAAUAAAAGCACAAGCUUUCUCCUUGUCACUGUC